rnacentral:tRNA from 1 species
UUGAGGUGUAUUGAAUAAAAUGGUAGACUGGAAGUCUAUAAGAUCUGGGUUUAAAUCCCACCUCAAA